GAUGAUGAUGCCGUCGACCCUUGAUACAUCGUAGAUUGUGUACUUAGAAAUUUGAGAUAAUGGUGAGGAAAUGAAGGAGUUUCAAGUGCAAUGGGAGCCCCUGAAGGUUGGUAAGUUGAACAAGUGUUCGACAGAGGGUGACCUUGCGGCGAAUGAUCUAAAGUUAUGCCUCUCCAUUCAUUUAUCUGUGAAUUUUACUUUUGCUACCAAUCUUUGGAUUGUAAAUAUAACUCUCAGACAUUAGGUAUAGAUGUUUUAUACAGCGAACUUUUUAUAGCUGUAGAGAUGAUGCCUGGGCUAUGAAGAAUCAAUUCUUUCUUGUGUUAUUGAAACGUGAAACUCUACUAUGCUCACAGAUUCAUGAGGGAAAAUAUGAGUUUGGUAAAUUGGUGGAGCACUUGUAGACCUUCUACCUCAUUUGACAUCUAUAAAGCCAUUGAAAAAUGGUAAGUUUAUCGCCAGGAAGUGUAGAACUACUUGCUCAACUAUUCAUUUGCUUAUGAACUAUCUGAAACCAUUUACAUAUCCUCUGAAUACUGAA